CACAGCUGUUAUGUUGAUGCAUCUCAGACCCUCGUAGAAUUAUAAAGGUCACAGCUGUUAUGUUGAUGCAUCUCAGACCCUCGUAGAAUUAUAAAGGUCACAGCUGUUAUGUUGAUGCAUCUCAGACCCUCGUAGAAUUAUAAAGGUCACAGCUGUUAUGUUGAUGCAUCUCAGACCCUCGUAGAAUUAUAAAGGUCACAGCUGUUAUGUUGAUGCAUCUCAGACCCUCGUAGAAUUAUAAAGGUCACAGCUGUUAUGUUGAUGCAUCUC